rnacentral:rRNA from 1 species
GACGAACGCUGGCGGCGUGCUUAACACAUGCAAGUCGAACGGUGAAAGCGGAGCUUGCUCCGCUGGAUCAGUGGCGAACGGGUGAGUAACACGUGGGCAACCUGCCCCUCACUUCGGGAUAACUCCGGGAAACCGGGGCUAAUACCGGAUAUGACCUCCUUGGGCAUCCUUGGAGGUGGAAAGUUUUUCGGUGAGGGAUGGGCCCGCGGCCUAUCAGCUUGUUGGUGAGGUAGUGGCUCACCAAGGCGACGACGGGUAGCCGGCCUGAGAGGGCGACCGGCUACACUGGGACUGAGAUACGGCCCAGACUCCUACGGGAGGCAGCAGUGGGGAAUAUUGCACAAUGGGCGCAAGCCUGAUGCAGCAACGCCGCGUGAGGGAUGACGGCCUUCGGGUUGUAAACCUCUUUUAGUAGGGAAGAAGCGAAAGUGACGGUACCUGCAGAAAAAGCACCGGCUAACUACGUGCCAGCCGCCGCAGUAA